AAUCUCUACUCUCGCAGUUAAACAAUAUCAGUUUCAAACCCUCUAGCCUGCAUUCUUAAAUCCAAUCGUUUGAUCAGUACAUACUAUAAAGACUGGCUAUGAAAUCUCAGGAUUAUCCUGAUCUUUAAAAAACUAAAUCAUGUACUCGAUCAGAAAUCCUAAUAUUAUCAAACCAUCCUACUGCUGAGCAAAGAAUAACUUUUAAAAAGAGGAUGGAUGAAGACAGUC
rnacentral:lncRNA from 1 species